rnacentral:rRNA from 1 species
GACGAACGCUGGCGGCGUGCCUACUACAUGCAAGUAGAACGCAGUUGCGAACGGGUGAGUAACGCGUAGGUAACUGCCUGGUAGCGGUGGCUAACUAUUGGAAACGUUAGCUAAUACCUCAUACUACCAGAUGGACUUUCGUUGUAUUAGCUAGUUGGUGAGGUCAAGGCUCACCAAGGCAACGAUACAUAGCCGACCUGGGAGGGUGAGCGGCCACACGGGGACUGAGACACGGCCCAGACGCCUACGGGAGGCAGCAGUAGGGAAUCUUAGGAAAUGGAGGGAACCCUGACCGAGCAACGCCGCGUGAGUGAAGAAGGUGUUCGGAUCGUAAAGCUCUGUUGUUAAGGAAGCGGGACUUAACCAGAAAGGGACGGCUAACUACGUGCCAGCCGCCGCGGUAAUAC